UGAAGCUGCUCCGAACCGGGAAACAUAUGCUGUCAUUACAAACCUCAGGAGGGAGUAUGAUAAUGAAGAGCCCUUAUUUAUGCCUGUUUACCACACCUUAAGCCUGGGGACAGCUUGACACACAGUCCACUAUGGAAAGGUUACAGAGAGCAGAGACUAAUGUCUGAAGAAGGAAGGAGAGUCUAUUUAAAGCUUUGUAAUGCGUGCAGGUCAUGUGACAACACAAAGCUGUUUUGUUACAAAUUUUAAUCACCUCAACUGCAGAAUGAAGGUUUUAUGUCUGUUUUCUAAACAUAACUGUUUUCAAAUUGAAUGCAAUUAAGUGCAUUGGUUGGGGAGUUGUGUUUGUUCAUGACAAAAGACAAUGACAUAUUUAUGUGCUGUUAAGAAAUGUAUUAAGAAAAAAAGUUAAAGAUAUUUAGGUUAUGUACAUUUGCA